UAUUAUGAUGAAUGUGUUAUUCACACUGUUUGACCUGGGCACUUCGGUGUCCGGGAAUGAACAUUUAUACAAAAAUCUGAUUUAAUGAGGUGAGU
rnacentral:snoRNA from 1 species